UACGUAGGAUGCAAGCGUUGUCCGGAAUUAUUGGGCGUAAAGAGCGCGCAGGCGGCCUAUCAAGUCAGAUGUGAAAUAACCAGGCUUAACCUGGUGGGGUCAUUUGAAACUGGUAGGCUAGAGUACAGCAGAGGAUAGCGGAAUUCCCGGUGUAGUGGUGAAAUGCGUAGAUAUUGGGAAGAACACCGGUGGCGAAGGCGGCUAUCUGGACCGUAACUGACGCUGAGGCGCGAAAGCGUGGGGAGCAAACAGG
rnacentral:rRNA from 1 species